GAUUUUCCGUUCAGUGUGACGGAGGCUGCCGAGCUGACUGCGUGCCUAAAAUUGUGCUGAGGAGAAGCAUGGCCAGCCCACGUGUUUUUAUUUAGUUAAUUUUCAACUUUACUUUAUUGACGUUUGAAUGUUCAGUAAAAGUGGGAAAAGGUGGAAGUUAAGCAGUUAUCGAAGUUUGAGCAGUAAAGGUGACGGUGGUGACCUGAUGUGCCGUGAAUUUAAGGAAGAUUUAAAUUUAAAUGAUUUGGAGAUGAAGAUUCGACGGGACUAAAGUGAGUGGAGGUGAUGUCGUUAUUUUUAAUCGGCUUUGAGUUUAGAUUCUGAGGACGAGAUUCCGCAAUUGGGCAAACAUAACGCAACGCUUGUCGGAUUCCGAAUUAUGGAGUCUUCGCAUUUACUUUUAAUCGAUUUACUUCUCAUCCUGCAACGACGAGGUGACGGCGACAAAGCUCCCUUCAUCUGCUCUUUUUUGUCAUCCCGACAUUUUUUCUGGGUUGGAUCCGACUCGACGCAACAGAAUUCCCGCAAAUACAACGACGUGAUCUGGACGACCUCAAAUUUCCGCAUCUUUUCUACAUCAUCGGAACUGCAAGAAAUCAACUGUAAAUUUGUAUUUAGUUUGUAUUAUUAAGCAAAUAAGCUUAAAGAUGUAGACUUGAACGUCAACGUAAUUUAUUAAUUGGCCCAGUUAGUUAGAUCCAUUUGGGAAAAUUUAAUUUGGUAUUCUUUAGCUUUCUUUUUAAAAAAAUCCUUCCAGAUCUCAAUAUGCGUAAAAAACAGCGAAAUUUACUAAGAAUAAUCAUUAUUAACCAGAUUAUACAAAUCAAAUAGUUUAGGCUAAUCAGGUUUGGCCACAGGGUAAUGAUGUUCACACUAACUAUUAGAUAAUUUAGUUGGUUUUACUCGUAAUUAAUAAUUGAUUAAAAGAAUAUUGGACACCAAUUAGAAGUAGAGAAUGACUAAUACAUGACCUGCAAGGUAUUUAGGUCAAGAUUUAAGGGAAGUAAUUAAGGAAACAAUAAAAGGGAAUAUCUAAACCAAUUACAUCGCGUCAUGACCUUAAAGGUAAUUAGGUCAUAAUUUAGGGAGGGUAAUUAAUUACACAAUAAAAGGGAAUAUUCGACACCAAUUAAAUCGCGAAAUGAUCUUAAAGGUAAUUAGGUCAUAAUUAAGGGAAGGUAAUGAAUUACACAAUAAAAGGGAAUAUUCGACACCAAUUAAAUCGCGAAAUGAUCUUAAAGGUAAUUAGGUCAUAAUUUAGGGAUGGUAAUUAAUUACACAAUAAAAGGGAAUAUUCGACACCAAUUAAAUCGCGAAAUGAUCUUAAAGGUAAUUAGGUCAUAAUUUAGGGAAGGUAAUUAAUUACACAAUAAAAGGGAAUAUUCGACACCAAUUAAAUCGCGAAAUGACGUAAAAGGUAAUUAGGUCAUAAUUAAGGGAAGGUAAUUAAUUACACAAUAAAAGGGAAUAUUCGACACCAAUUAAAUCGCGAAAUGAUCUUAAAGGUAAUUAGGUCAUAAUUUAGGGAGGGUAAUUAAUUACACAAUAAAAGGGAAUAUUCGACACCAAUUAAAUCGCGAAAUGACCUUAAAGGUAAUUAGGUCAUAAUUUAGGGAGGGUAAUUAAUUACACAAUAAAAGGGAAUAUUCGACACCAAUUAAAUCGCGAAUUGAUCUUAAAGGUAAUUAGGUCAUAAUUUGGGGAGGGUAAUUAAUUACACAAUAAAAGGGAAUAUUCGACACCAAUUAAAUCGCGAAAUGAUCUUAAAGGUAAUUAGGUCAUAAUUUAGGGAAGGUAAUUAAUUACACAAUAAAAGGGAAUAUUCGACACCAAUUAAAUCGCGAAAUGAUCUUAAAGGUAAUUAGGUCAUAAUUUAGGGAGGGUAAUUAAUUACACAAUAAAAGGGAAUAUUCGACACCAAUUAAAUCGCGAAAUGACCUUAAAGGUAAUUAGGUCAUAAUUUAGGGAGGGUAAUUAAUUACACAAUAAAAGGGAAUAUUCGACACCAAUUAAAUCGCGAAUUGAUCUUAAAGGUAAUUAGGUCAUAAUUUGGGGAGGGUAAUUAAUUACACAAUAAAAGGGAAUAUUCGACACCAAUUAAAUCGCGAAAUGAUCUUAAAGGUAAUUAGGUCAUAAUUUAGGGAAGGUAAUUAAUUACACAAUAAAAGGGAAUAUUCGACACCAAUUAAAUCGCGAAAUGAUCUUAAAGGUAAUUAGGUCAUAAUUUAGGGAAGGUAAUUAAUUACACAAUAAAAGGGAAUAUUCGACACCAAUUAAAUCGCGAAAUGACGUAAAAGGUAAUUAGGUCAUAAUUAAGGGAAGGUAAUUAAUUACACAAUAAAAGGGAAUAUUCGACACCAAUUAAAUCGCGCCAUGACCUUAAAAGUAAUUGGGUCAGUAUUUAGGGAAGGUAAUUAAGGAAACAAUAAAAGGGAAUAUUCGACACCAAUUAAAUCGCGAAAUGACCUUAAAGUUGGGUCAGUAUUUAAAGGGAUUUAGGUUAUAACUUAGAGAAAGUAAUUAAUUAAGCACGUAAUUAAGGUAAAUUAAUUAAUUAAAUUAAUAUAUUAGUUAAUAGUUAAAAUAUUUUUAAUCUUGUUACAUGUUUGUAUUUUAAUAUUAAAUAAAUUUUGUUACUGUGUAGUAUACAGAUUUUAAUUAAUAAUUUGUUUUAUUAUAAAUUUAAUUUACCCCUGCCUGUGUCAACACUUAUAGAAAUAAAUGAUUAGAUAUACAUCAUAAUUGCA